rnacentral:rRNA from 1 species
UACGUAGGGGGCUAGCGUUAUCCGGAAUUACUGGGCGUAAAGGGUGCGUAGGCGGCGUUUUAAGUAAGGUGUGAAAUCCCACGUCUCAACCGUGGAACUGCGCUUUAUACUGGAAUGCUUGAGUAAGUUAGAGGUAAGCGGAACUGAUAGUGGAGCGGUGAAAUGCGUUGAUAUUAUCAGGAACACCAGUGGCGAAGGCGGCUUACUGGGUCUUAACUGACGCUGAUGCACGAAAGCUAGGGUAGCGAAGAGGAUUAGAUACCCCUGUAGUCCCUGA